GCAGCUCCAUACAGUGGGCGGGGAUUCAUAGCGCUGUUGGGUUGUACGGCAAGCGCCUCCUUGGAGCGGGAUGCGCCCCAGCCAUCCCCAACAGCGCCACACAAAGAUCUCUCAGCAAUCGCUGUAGAAGCAAAAUAUUGAGGGAGCUGCGAAGCGCAGAGGAUUUCCGCAACUGUGGUUUUUGAACGAAUGAACAAAUGAAUGCAUUUACUUGGAAUAUAUUCUCCCUUUUGCUGGAGUGACUUUGCUGGGCAGGUGAAUGUAAUGGAAGCUGGGAGCCCGUCGCCCAUUGUAAUGUACUUGGUGACCUUGUCUUUCUUUCUGUGCCCACCUCCACCCAGAUCAAUUCAUGUCGCCAAUAAUACGGAGUCGAGGGGAAGCAGCACCUUUUCUAACUUGCACUAAGGCACCCCGGUGUUCCUGUUUCGCUGGCCAUGCCUCUGCCUGCAACGCCCUUUGCCCAGGGCGCAGAAGGCUCUGAACUAGUUACUGGGCUCUCGCUGUGAACAAGGCAGACACUGUCCCUGCCUUCUCUUGAAACUAUGUUCUGGCAGAAGAGACAAGCGUGAAACAGAAAAAUAAUGCAGUAUCAAUCAUUCCAUAAAAAGUAACAGCUUCAUUGGCAAGUUCUAAGUGUUUUUGUUAAUGAAUCACUCUGAAAGGGAGAGGAGAAUAUUUAAUUUGCUUAGGAAUGAGGAUCAACUGUGUGACAUUUGUUUCCUGGUUUCUGUCUUCAUAUUUUUAAGAUCAGACCAACAAUAAAGGUAAGUCACUUGUCUUAGACGGUUUGUUUCCGUCCUCUCCACACCAUCUGUUAAGAUACAACCUCUCUCUGCUGAUGUUUUUAACACAGACAGGCAAAUUUGAUCCAGGAACUUUGUUAUGGUAUGUACAAAUCUAAGUUUGCAGGCUCCAUGGACGUCAUUAACCCAAAAUAUCCCUACUGGACCACAGGAGACUGAGACCCAUCCUCUAGUCAUAGAUAGCCACAAGGAACAAAAAGGAAGCUCAGAUUUGUUUGGAAAGAUAGGCCAAUACUGGAGGUCCAUCCAAUACCUCAUGGAUUUGCUAUUACACAGCUGUUUUUUGUUUUGUUUUGUUUUUGUU